GACGAACGCUGGCGGCGGGCUUAACACAUGCAAGUCAAACGAGCAGAUUCUUCGGAAUCGGGCGAGUGGCGCACGGGUGCGUAACACGUAGAGAACCUGCCUUUGAGUGGGGAAUAACCGUUGGAAACGACGGCUAAUACCGCAUAUUGUCUUUAGGUCGCAUGGCCUUGAAGAUGAAAGCUAUAUGCGCUCAAAGAUGGCUCUGCGGUGGAUUAGGUAGUUGGUGAGGUAAUGGCUCACCAAGCCGACGAUCCAUAGCUGGUCUGAGAGGAUGAUCAGCCACACUGGCACUGACACACGGGCCAGACUCCUACGGGAGGCAGCAGUGAGGAAUAUUGGUCAAUGGGCGAAAGCCUGAACCAGCCACGCCGCGUGCAGGAUGAAGCUCCUCUGGGGUGUAAACUGCUUUUCUAUAAGAAUAAAAAAUAGGUUGCCUAUCUUGAAGGUAUUAUAGGAAUAAGCACCGGCUAACUACGUG
rnacentral:rRNA from 1 species